rnacentral:rRNA from 1 species
GUUCAUGGCUCAGGAUGAACGCUGGCGGCGUGCCUAACACAUGCAAGUCGAACGAAGAGGCGGCAUCAGAAUCCUUCGGGAGGAAGAAGCCGUUUACUGAGUGGCGGACGGGUGAGUAACGCGUGGGCAACCUGCCCAGUACAGGGGGACAACAGUUGGAAACGACUGCUAAUACCGCAUAAGCCUGUAAUGCCGCAUGGCAUAUCAGGAAAAACUCCGGUGGUACUGGAUGGGCCCGCGU